GCCCUUCCCAGUUCUAAUUUAUUAUCUUGAGGAUAUGGUGGAAAUGAGCUAGAGUCUGGAAGGCAUCCCCCCAGCUACAACCAGAGUUUCGCCGGUAAUAUACGAAGCAUCAUCCGAUGCCAGAAAGGCAGUGGCAGCAGCCAUGUCUUCAGUCGUACCAAGCCGGUUGAGUAAAGUCUUUGACUCAACUCCCUUUUUAACGGCUUCAUUAGACACAAGGAAAUCAGCAAAGUGUGUUGGCACGAAACCAGGAGCGACACAGUUUACACGAGUGUCAGGGGCCAUCUCUGCAGCAAGAGCCUUUGUCAGUCCAAGAAGGGCUGUUUUUGUCACCCCAUACAUGGCCAAUAAGGCAGAAGGCUGGAAUCCUUCAAUGGAGGAAAUAAGAACAACUGAAGAGCCUUUUUGCAAGUGAGGAGCUACUUCCUGCAAAAGGAGGACCGAAGCUUUAACAUUUAUGUCCCACAACUUGUCAAGGACAGAUUCUUGAGUUCGCAAGAUGGAUUCGACUGAUGGAUUGACAGCUGCAUUCGAUACAACCACGUCUAUUUUUCCAUAUUUCUGGAUAGUCUUUUCCACCAGAUUCU
rnacentral:misc_RNA from 1 species